AAGUGGGAAACGAUGUGGGAAGGCCCAGACAGCCAGGAUGUUGGCUUAGAAGCAGCCAUCAUUUAAAGAAAGCGUAAUAGCUCACUGGUCGAGUCGGCCUGCGCGGAAGAUGUAACGGGGCUAAACCAUGCACCGAAGCUGCGGCAGCGACGCUUAUGCGUUGUUGGGUAGGGGAGCGUUCUGUAAGCCUGUGAAGGUGGCCUGUGAGGGUUGCUGGAGGUAUCAGAAGUGCGAAUGCUGACAUAAGUAACGAUAAAGCGGGUGAAAAGCCCGCUCGCCGGAAGACCAAGGGUUCCUGUCCAACGUUAAUCGGGGCAGGGUGAGUCGACCCCUAAGGCGAGGCCGAAAGGCGUAGUCGAUGGGAAACGGGUUAAUAUUCCCGUACUUGGUGUUACUGCGAAGGGGGGACGGAGAAGGCUAUGUUGGCCGGGCGACGGUUGUCCCGGUUUAAGCGUGUAGGUGUGUGUUCCAGGUAAAUCCGGUUCACUUUAACACUGAGGCGUGACGACGAGGCACUACGGUGCUGAAGCAACAAAUGCCCUGCUUCCAGGAAAAGCCUCUAAGCAUCAGGUAACAUCAAAUCGUACCCCAAACCGACACAGGUGGUCAGGUAGAGAAUACCAAGGCGCUUGAGAGAACUCGGGUGAAGGAACUAGGCAAAAUGGUGCCGUAACUUCGGGAGAAGGCACGCUGACACGUAGGUGAAGUGAUUUACUCAUGGAGCUGAAGUCAGUCGAAGAUACCAGCUGGCUGCAACUGUUUAUUAAAAACACAGCACUGUGCAAACACGAAAGUGGACGUAUACGGUGUGACGCCUGCCCGGUGCCGGAAGGUUAAUUGAUGGGGUCAGCGCAAGCGAAGCUCCUGAUCGAAGCCCCGGUAAACGGCGGCCGUAACUAUAACGGUCCUAAGGUAGCGAAAUUCCUUGUCGGGUAAGUUCCGACCUGCACGAAUGGCGUAAUGAUGGCCAGGCUGUCUCCACCCGAGACUCAGUGAAAUUGAACUCGCUGUGAAGAUGCAGUGUACCCGCGGCAAGACGGAAAGACCCCGUGAACCUUUACUAUAGCUUGACACUGAACAUUGAGCCUUGAUGUGUAGGAUAGGUGGGAGGCUUUGAAGUGUGGACGCCAGUCUGCAUGGAGCCGACCUUGAAAUACCACCCUUUAAUGUUU
rnacentral:rRNA from 1 species